rnacentral:pre_miRNA from 1 species
UAAGAUAAAAUACAGAUGGCGACACGUGUUUAAGAAUAUAUUCUUGAACACGUGUCGCCAUCUGUAUUUUAUAUUAA